UACCAUUAUAGAUGCCUGGAUUCAAGAACAUGAGUUGAGAAGGCUCAACGGUGAGGUGGAGACCAAGCAGGAUUUCAUAGAUGUUUUGCUAUCUGCAGUUCAGGAUGAUUCCCAAUUCGGCAAUUCUCGUGAAACAGUUAUCAAAGCAACAAUAAUGACUCUUAUCGUCGGUGGGUCCGAUACAACAUCUAUCACCAUGAUAUGGAUGUUGGCCAAUUUGUUGAACAACAGGCGUGAAUUGCAGCUUGCCCAAGAGGAGAUAGAUCAGAAAGUUGGAAGGGACAGACCCG
rnacentral:misc_RNA from 1 species